rnacentral:rRNA from 1 species
UAAUACGUAGGUCGCAAGCGUUGUCCGGAUUUACUGGGCGUAAAGAGCGCGCAGGCGGCUGGUCAAGUCCGAUGUGAAAUCUCCCGGCUCAACUGGGAAACUGCAUCGGAAACUGAUCGGCUUGAAGGUGGGAGAGAGUAGUGGAAUUCCCGGUGUAGUGGUGAAAUGCGUAGAUAUCGGGAGGAACACCAGUGGCGAAGGCGACUACUUGGCCCAUUCUUGACGCUGAGGCGCGAAAGCUAGGGGAGCGAACGGGAUUAGAUACCCCGGUAGUCCUAGCCGUAAACGAUGAACACUAGGCGUAGUCGGUAUCGACCCCGGCUGUGCCGUAGCUAACGCAUUAAGUGUUCCGCCUGGGGAGUACGGCCGCAAGGCUA